rnacentral:rRNA from 1 species
ACGCUGGCGGCAGGCCUAACACAUGCAAGUCGAGCGGUAGAGAGAAGCUUGCUUCUCUUGAGAGCGGCGGACGGGUGAGUAAUGCCUAGGAAUCUGCCUGGUAGUGGGGGAUAACGUUCGGAAACGGACGCUAAUACCGCAUACGUCCUACGGGAGAAAGCAGGGGACCUUCGGGCCUUGCGCUAUCAGAUGAGCCUAGGUCGGAUUAGCUAGUUGGUGAGGUAAUGGCUCACCAAGGCGACGAUCCGUAACUGGUCUGAGAGGAUGAUCAGUCACACUGGAACUGAGACACGGUCCAGACUCCUACGGGAGGCAGCAGUGGGGAAUAUUGGACAAUGGGCGAAAGCCUGAUCCAGCCAUGCCGCGUGUGUGAAGAAGGUCUUCGGAUUGUAGAGCACUUUAAGUUGGGAGGAAGGGCAUUAACCUAAUACGUUAGUGUUUUGACGUUACCGACAGAAUAAGCACCGGCUAACUCUGUGCCAGCAGCCGCGGUAAUACAGAGGGUGCAAGCGUUAAUCGGAAUUACUGGGCGUAAAGCGCGCGUAGGUGGUUUGUUAAGUUGGAUGUGAAAUCCCCGGGCUCAACCUGGGAACUGCAUUCAAAACUGACUGACUAGAGUAUGGUAGAGGGUGGUGGAAUUUCCUGUGUAGCGGUGAAAUGCGUAGAUAUAGGAAGGAACACCAGUGGCGAAGGCGACCACCUGGACUAAUACUGACACUGAGGUGCGAAAGCGUGGGGAGCAAAC